GAUGAACGCUAGCGAUAGGCUUAACACAUGCAAGUCGAGGGGCAGCAUGGUCUUAGCUUGCUAAGACUGAUGGCGACCGGCGCACGGGUGCGUAACGCGUAUGCAACUUGCCUCACAGAGGGGGAUAACCCGUCGAAAGACGGACUAAUACCGCGUACACUUGGGAUAGGGCAUCCUGACCCAAGGAAAUGAAGUUCGCUGUGAGAUAGGCAUGCGUCCCAUUAGCUAGUUGGUGAGGUAACGGCCCACCAAGGCGACGAUGGGUAGGGGAACUGAGAGGUUGAACCCCCACACUGGUACUGAGACACGGACCAGACUCCUACGGGAGGCAGCAGUGAGGAAUAUUGGUCAAUGGGCGAGAGCCUGAACCAGCCAAGUCGCGUGAAGGAUGACUGUCUUAUGGAUUGUAAACUUCUUUUAUACGGGAAUAACAAGAGCCACGUGUGGCUCCCUGCAUGUACCGUAUGAAUAAGCAUCGGCUAACUCCGUG
rnacentral:rRNA from 1 species